rnacentral:rRNA from 1 species
UACGGAGGAUGCAAGCGUUAUCCGGAAUGAUUGGGCGUAAAGCGUCCGCAGGUGGCAAUGUAAGUCUGCUGUCAAAGCGUCUGGCUCAACCAGAUAAAGGCAGUGGAAACUACAUAGCUAGAGUAAGGUAGGGGUAGAGGGAAUUCCUGGUGUAGCGGUGAAAUGCGUAGAGAUCAGGAAGAACACCGGUGGCGAAGGCAGCAAACUGGUCAUCAACUGACGCUGAGGCGCGAAAGCGUGGGUAGCAAACAGG